rnacentral:rRNA from 1 species
AUUGAACGCUGGCGGCAGGCCUAACACAUGCAAGUCGAGCGGAGCGGCGGACGGGUGAGUAAUGCCUAGGAAUCUGCCUGGUAGUGGGGGAUAACGUCCGGAAACGGGCGCUAAUACCGCAUACUAUCAGAUGAGCCUAGGGGGGAUUAGCUAGUUGGUGGGGUAAAGGCCUACCAAGGCGACGAUCCGUAACUGGUCUGAGAGGAUGAUCAGUCACACUGGAACUGAGACACGGUCCAGACUCCUACGGGAGGCAGCAGUGGGGAAUAUUGGACAAUGGGCGAAAGCCGGAUUAAGCCAUGCCGCGUGUGUGAAGAAGGUCUUAGGGUUGUAAAGCACUUUAAGUCGGGAGGCGUUACCGACAGAAGAAGCACCGGCUAACUCCGUGCCAGCAGCCGCGGUAAUAC